rnacentral:ncRNA from 1 species
UACUAUCGGCCAUGACGAGUGACUAUGCAGGCAUGAGUAGCGAUAAACAGGGUGAGAAACCCUGUCGCCGUAAGCCCAAGGUUUCCUGGGGAAGGAUAAUCCUCCCACGGGUUAGUCGAUACCUAAGCCGAGGCCGAGAGGCGUAGGCGAUGGAAAGCAGGUUAAUAUUCCUGCACCGCUGAAGGGUGGCGUUGAAGUAAGCGGGGACGGAGAAGGUAGCUCGGCACGGUGCAUGGUUCCGUGUUCAAGCCCGUAGGCUGAGUUGUUAGGACCCGGUAGGGACAAACGAUGACUCAAGACCGAGAGGUGAUGAGGUGGUCUCCUAGAGACCGACACUGAGUAAUCCUCGACUUCCUAGAAAAGCCGCGCGCAGAGCCUCUUCGUGAUCGUACUCCAAACCGACUCAGGUGGGCGGGGUGAAUAUCCCAAGGCGCGUGAGAGAACUCUGGCUAAGGAACUCGGCAAAUUGAUACCGUAACUUCGGGAGAAGGUAUGCCUCUCAGGGUCAUGGACUUUACGUCCGCAGCCCCGGGGGGGUCGCAGUGAAAUGGCGGUUGUGACUGUUUACUAAAAACACAGGACUCUGCGAAGUCGUAAGACGACGUAUAGGGUCUGAUGCCUGCCCGGUGCUGGAAGGUUAAGGGAAUAUGUCAGGGGUAACCUAAAGCAUUGAACCGAAGCCCC